rnacentral:rRNA from 1 species
AUUGAACGCUGGCGGCAGGCCUAACACAUGCAAGUCGAACGAGUGGCGGACGUGUGUGUAAUGUCUGGAAAACUGCUUGCUGGAGGGGUAUCACUACUGGAAACGGUAGCUAAUAGCGCAUACCUGGAGAUGCGCCCAGAUGGGUUGAGCGAGUUGGUGGGGUAAAGGCGCACCAAGGCGACGAUCCCUAGCUGGUCUGAGAGGAUGACCAGCCAAACUGGAACUGAGACACGGUCCAGACUCCUACGGGAGGCAGCAGUGGGGAAUAUUGGACAAUGGGCGCAAGCCUGAUGCAGCCAUGCCGCGUGUAUGAAGAAGGCCUUCGGGUUGUAAAGUACUUUCAGCGGGGAGGCGUUACCCGCAGAAGAAGCACCGGCUAACUACGUGCCAGCAGCCGCGGUAAUAC